rnacentral:rRNA from 1 species
UACAGGGGGGGCAAGCGUUGUUCGGAAUUACUGGGCGUAAAGGGCUCGUAGGUGGCCAACUAAGUCAGACGUGAAAUCCCUCAGCUUAACUGGGGAACUGCGUCUGAUACUGGAUGGCUUGAGUUUGGGAGAGGGAUGCGGAAUUCCAGGUGUAGCGGUGAAAUGCGUAGAUAUCGGGAGGAACACCCGUGGCGAAGGCGGCUCUCUGGCCUGUAACUGACGCUGAGGCGCGAAAGCGUGGGGAGCAAACAGG